rnacentral:lncRNA from 1 species
GCCAAGUGGGUAGACAAAGCAUUAAUUGAGCAUUUAAUGCUUUAUUAACUUAGGGAGCAAGUUUUGCUCUUAACCAAAACAUUUUUCUCUCUCUCAUUUUCUCCCUAAUUUUCGCCCCUCACCUCUCUCUCUCCCUCAUCUCUCUUUCCUCCAUGAACCUCCAUUAGAGAGACCUUCCAAGCUUCCCAAAAUCACAUCUAUGGUAUAAUCCUUCACUAAAUCAAGUCCUAAACACUUUCUACACUUGUAUUCAAAGAGAUUAGUGGAGUUUAAGCUUGAAGCAUAGAAAGAAUGUUUUCAUUUCUCUUUGAACUACUUGAGUAAGUGUUCUAAUCUUAUGGAUCUAGACUUUAUAAUGAGAUAUAUGUGUGUAGAUGGAUGAUUGAAGCAUGAAAACUUCCCCCUUUUUUUAAAUUUUUUUUCGAAAAUAUAGGGCCUUUGCCCUUCAAAAAUUUUUCUUAUUCUUUUCUCAAUUUGGGAUGAGAUUUAUGCUUACCAAGGUGUUUUGAGAUGUUCACUAUGUGUGUUGAAAAGCUAUGUCAUGUGAUGUAAAUUUUUACUUAGGUUAGUUUACCUAAAAUUGAGAAUUUUUGAGUCUAUGGUUCGAAUGAUAAAUUGAUGAUGAGUAUGAGAUGAUUAAUAUGAUAAUUGAUGGAUUUGAUUGAUGACUGGAAGUGAUGGAUGGAAUUUGGAAUGAGUUAGUUUGAUGAAAAUUAGGUAUUUUUACCUAUGUGCUUGAAAUGAUUAUGUGAAUGCUUAUAUUCAAGUUUGAGUGAGCUAAUUGCUUAGAUCUAAGUUUUAAUUGGUUAAUUGAGCAUGAUUAAUGAUUUUCUAAAAAGUUAGUUUGACUAAAAUUUAGACUUUUAAUCUAUGAGACAUAAGCUUAAAUUGACUAUGAUUAAUUGAUUAAAAACAUGUUUAGACUAAGUAUCCAUGAUCAAUUUGAUUAAUUGUUGCUUAUAUGUGUUUUCACUUAAGUUUAGUUUACUAAAAUUUGGGUAAUCAUGAUUUAUGAGAUCCCUACUUAAAUUGAUGAUGUUUAUAUCUUAUUUGGAGCCUAUAUAGGACCAUGACAUAAUUAGAUUGUGAAUCUUCAAUGAAAUAUGAUUUUUCACCGAGUUUAGUUUGUAUGUUUACAUGAGAUCUCUCAUAUGCGAUGAGUUGAGUGUUAAAUGUGAACAUAUAUGGCUAUGUGAUGAUUAUUUGAGUUUAUAUAUGCUAUAUGAGAUGAAACGAACCAUCCCCUAAAAUUAUAUGAGAGGUCCGAAAAUGAAGAGUCAAAGGAGAAGUCGAGUUUGAUUUUUCUUGAGUCGUAUGAUUGUAUAUUUAUGUUCUUGGGUGUUAUAUGAGUUUAAUUUGAAUUUUUGAGAAUUUUUCAUCGACGGAGUUUGGAGAUGAGACUUUUGCUUUUAUGUUCAAGUUUGGAGCUAUUUUGAGACUCCACUGACCUACUUUUUUCGAAGAGUUUUUGUUACCCAAAAGUUUUACAAAUUUUAUGGUGAGUAUAUACGAGAGUCCUGAAUGUCCUCGUAAAAUUUCAAGUCAUUUGGACUUUAUUUACUAUUUUUCUAAAAUUUAAAACUCCAACUGCAACUUUCUACCGAAAAUUUUCCAGAACAGACCCUAAAGCCACCUUUUUCAGUAGCUUUCUGAAAGGUUUUACCUUCCAAAUUUUUAUGAUAAAGAUCUUAUUGUGUUAUAUAGUUAUCCACAAAAUAUCAAGUCAUUUCAGCGAUAUUUACUAUUUUUCAAAAAUCAAAACUUUCAGUUGCGCAAAACUGCCGGAUAUGGUAGACUGUAGGGGAACGGCCAUAUCUCUCAAACAACUUGGAGUUAUUCAACCUAUUUUUUUUAAAUGAAACUAUACUCAAAUAGGUUUUCAUUAAUAUGAGUCUCGAAUGCAGGAGAGGUCCGAGGUGAAAUAGGUUUAAUUUUUUGUUUGGAAGAGUGCAGAAUGACGUUAGUGUGUGAUAAUGUGUCUAUGUGUUUCUAUGUACUUGAUUGCUUUUAAUCUAGCCCUAUUUGAGUGAUAAGUUGAAAAUAAGAUUAGUGUUUAUUAAUGUAGUAAUUAAUUGUAAGAUUGAGAUAAGUCGAAGUGUGAUUAUGAUGAGUGUUAUAAUAGGAUUAAGGUUAGUCUCUUAGAAAGGAAGUUUCUAACUAGUUCCUCUAACUUGUCUCAUGAAUUACUACGAUGAUGAUAUCUGAAGGUACCAGUUGAGGACGCAAGUGAGAUCACUCCGAGUACCACUUGAAGUAUGCUAAGCUUAUCAGGUGGGCAUUAUUUUUAUUAUACGUAUAAAGAGAUCCCAUGCGUGUCGUAGGCCUCUUAUACGAUAUUGAAGUGAAUAAUAUGUUUUAACUGUUCAAUUCCAAUUUAAUGAAAAUUAUCAAUGAUGCAUGAUUGAGUUAAAAUGAUGUUGAAACUAAUUGACUUGCCAAUUUUUGAAUGAUGAUGAGCUUGUAUGCUACCCUCUACUGAUGAGACGAAUUCGGUUCUGCCUCAAGCGGGAUUUGUGCACAGAGGUGACUGUGAGCCGUCUAUCGGGUCAGCCGAUCACGGUACUCGAGAGGGAGGCCUACUUCUCGGUACCUUUGAUGAUGAAUUGUAGAUGUGGUACUUACAUGUUGAGUAAUUUGAUUGCGCAAUCGUUCAUUUGAUAUUUAUGAUGCUUAUGUUUGAGAUUCAGCUUUCACAGGUUUAUUUAUAUUAAAACCCCUGUGAUUUGCUUAAAACUAUGGCAAGUUCAAUCUAUAGCUCUGACGAGCAAGUUUCUUUUAUUUUCGGCUUAUGUCCACUGAGUAUUCUGUACUCAAGCCCUGCAUGUAUUUCUAAAUGUGCAGGAUAAGCAAGGAUGGAGGAUGGCCUGGUGUUGGCGGGAUUGUUGUUUCAGAUGUUCACUAUCUACCGUAUUUUCAUUUCAUAUGGUAGUAUUUUGAUUUUGGAGUUUGUUUUAGACUUAAUCAAGUGAUAUACUCUCAGCUAUAUGUCUCCAUACAUAUAGUCUGAUCACCUUUUGCUGUGAUACUCUGCAUAAUAUGAAUCCUUGUAAACAUUGAGCUAUGUCUGCUUUGUAAAUGAUGACGAGAAUCCCAAUAUUUUAGCUUUUAUAAAGAUGUCGAUGUUUAUGUCAU